AGUGGAUUAGCUCAGUAGGUAGAGCACUCGACCGAUAAUCGAGAGCGCACUGGUUCGACCCCAGUAUCCACUACCA
rnacentral:tRNA from 2 species